rnacentral:rRNA from 1 species
CCCUUAGAUGUUCUGGGCCGCACGCGUGCUACACUGAGUGGAUCAGCGGGUCAGGUUACGCGAGAGCGUUUCCUAAUCUUCAAAUCCGCUCGUGAUGGGGAUUGACGGUUGCAAUUUUCCGUCAUGAACGAGGAAUACCUUGUAAGCGCGGGUCAUCAUCCCGCGCUGAAUACGUCCCUGCCCUUUGUACACACCGCCCGUCGCUCCUACCGAUUGAGUGGUCCGGUGAGGCUUUGGGAUCUAAGCGAAAAGAGCGUUCCGCUCCUUUUGCUGGGAGAACUCAGUCGAACCUUAUCAUUUAGAGGAAGGAGAAGUCGUAACA